UUCAUCGAUUAUGUUGUUUCUUUGAGCAAAUUAUAGUGUUUCAGGCAGGCGUGCGCCGGAAUACAUUAGCAUGGUAUAAACGAAUUGGACCGUGUGCCCGUAACUGGGGCUUCUCCUUAUUGUUGGUUUUGUAAGGGACACGGGAGAUGGUUAAUAGGGGACAGCGUUUAUUUCACAAGGAGGCAUUAGUAUUUAAUUUCCAGAGGUGAAAUUCUUUGAAAUAUUAAAGACUAACUUAUGCGAAAGCAAUCGUUUGCCAAUGAUGUUUUCAUUAAUCAUUGAACGAAAGUUAGGGGAUCAAAGACGAUCAGAUACCGUCCUAGUCUUAACCAUAAACGUUGCCGACUAGGGAUCGGAGGGCGUGCACAAUCCGCCUUCGGCACCUUACGAGAAAUCAAAGUCUUUGGGUUCUGUGGGUAGUAUGGUCGUCAAGGCUGAAACUUAAAGGAAUUGACGGAAGGGCACACCAGGAGUGGAGCUUGCGGC
rnacentral:rRNA from 1 species